rnacentral:lncRNA from 1 species
GGUUGCUCCUGUUCUCACUGACAACGUCUUCGGAGCUAUCUGUGUCGUCCUCAUCAUCUCCAGAUGAGAUGGCAUCUGCAUUCAAAAGAACACACGCGUGGAUGCAUUGCAAAGGCAAAGGUCACCUGCGGCCGAGUGAGCUCUCCGAGUGAUCAACCUCCUCAGUGAGCUCGACCACCCAGGAGGAAUGUCAGAGACCGGGCAGUGUCAGGAAGUGUCCGUCUACCAGGAGUCGGUCUCUGAUUUUCAGGGUUUUCUGCUUUCUCGGGGGUUUUUUUAAGCCUCAAACAGUACUCAAGUCCCCAACAAUUUUCUAAAUGACUUAUUUAUUUUUACUUUAUGCACAUUGGUGUUUUGCUUGCACAUAUUUCGGUGUGAGCAUGUCAGAUCCCUUGAAACUGUAGUUAGGGACAGUUGUGAGCUGCCCUGUGGGUGCUGGAAAUUGAACAGCCAGUGCUCCAACCACUGAGCCAUCUCUCCAUGGCCACCUCUGACAAAUUUUGACUCUGUAAUAGCCAAACCUUGAUUUAUUUCCCCUUUUUAGCUUUUAGGGUUUCCUUCAAGACAGAAAUGACAACCUAACAAGACAGUUUCCUAUGUGGGCCUUCUGACUGCUAACUAACUUUCUGAAGGCAGAAUUCCCGACUUGGCCAACAUAGGAGGCCUGGUGCUGAUCAUCUCCUUCACUAUAUGGAAGGAAAGAACGAGGAGAGAGACUUGAGAGCUUAGUAAAGGACCUAAACUCUGGCUCCCCGCAUUUCAAUUCUCUACUGUAAGAGACAAGAAUGCUGGGCAGUGUGGGAGUGGGAAGUCUGUGGGCUUCUGCUCCUCAGAUCUCUGUCACUUGUAAACUGUGUGGUACACCAGGUCCCAGUGAGGAAUUUCAGAAAUAGAUCAGCCAGGUACACUAGCCUAGCCCUGUGGUCUAGCUCUUGGGAGGAGGAUGGGAAACUGACAUGAGCCCAGGAGUUUAAAUCCAGCCUGGGCAACCUUGUCUCAAAUGAAUGAAGAACAAACUUGACACUGGUGCCUGGCAGUCUAUGAAAGCAGGUCACUAGUGACUUCACUUGGCC